AACGAACGCUGGCGGCAUGCCUAACACAUGCAAGUCGAACGAGACCUUCGGGUCUAGUGGCGCACGGGUGCGUAACGCGUGGGAACCUGCCCUUAGGUUCGGAAUAACUCCCCGAAAGGGGUGCUAAUACCGGAUAAUGUCUUCGGACCAAAGAUUUAUCGCCUUUGGAUGGGCCCGCGUUGGAUUAGCUAGUUGGUAGGGUAAAAGCCUACCAAGGCGACGAUCCAUAGCUGGUCUGAGAGGAUGAUCAGCCACACUGGGACUGAGACACGGCCCAGACCCCCACGGGGGGGGGCGGGGGGGGAAAUUUGGAAAAGGGGCGAAGGCUUGACCCAGCAUGGCCGGGGGAGUAAGGAGGCCUUGGGGGUUAAAAAGCUUUUUCCCCGGGGAGGAUAAGGAAGGGCCGGGAAAAAAAACCCCCGGCAACCCCGGUC
rnacentral:rRNA from 1 species